rnacentral:rRNA from 1 species
GAUUAUGGCUCAGGACGAACGCUGGCGGCGUGCUUAACACAUGCAAGUCGAGCGAUGAAGCUUCUUCGGAAGUGGAUUAGCGGCGGACGGGUGAGUAACACGUGGGUAACCUGCCUCAUAGAGGGGAAUAGCCUUCCGAAAGGAAGAUUAAUACCGCAUAAGAUUGUAAUAUUGCAUGAUAUAGCAAUUAAAGGAGUAAUCCGCUAUGAGAUGGACCCCGCGUCGCAUUAGCUAGUUGGUGAGGUAACGGCUCACCAAGGCGACGAUGCGUAGCCGACCUGAGAGGGUGAUCGGCCACAUUGGGACUGAGACACGGCCCAGACUCCUACGGGAGGCAGCAGUGGGGAAUAUUGCACAAUGGGGGAAACCCUGAUGCAAGCAACGCCGCGUGAGUGAUGACGGUCUUCGGAUUGUAAAGCUCUGUCUUCAGGGACGAUAAUGACGGUACCUGAGGAGGAAGCCACGGCUAACUACGUGCCAGCCGCCGC